rnacentral:rRNA from 1 species
UGGGGGAAUUUUUGGACAAUGGGCGAAAGCCUGAUCCAGCAAUGCCGCGUGUGUGAAGAAGGCCUUCGGGUUGUAAAGCACUUUUGUCCGGAAAGAAAUCCUUGGCUCUAAUACAGUCGGGGGAUGACGGUACCGGAAGAAUAAGCACCGGCUAACUACGUGCCAGCAGCCGCGGUAAUACGUAGGGUGCAAGCGUUAAUCGGAAUUACUGGGCGUAAAGCGUGCGCAGGCGGUUUGCUAAGACCGAUGUGAAAUCCCCGGGCUCAACCUGGGGAACUGCAUUGGUGACUGGCAGGCUAGAGUAUGGCAGAGGGGGGUAGAAUUCCACGUGUAGCAGUGAAAUGCGUAGAGAUGUGGAGGAAUACCGAUGGCGAAGGCAGCCCCCUGGGGCCAAAUACUGACGCUCAUGCACGAAAGCGUGGGGGAGCAAAACAGGAUUAGAUACCCUGGUAGUCCACGCCCUAAAACGAUGUCAACUAGUUGUUGGGGAUUCAUUUCCUUAGUAACGUAGCUAACGCGUGAAGUUGA